AUGGCGCCGCUGCUCUGGUUUCUGCUCCUCCUCCGAGUCGCCGCCCUGCCGGAAGACGCCGCCGCGCUCACCCGCCGUGACUUCCCUGACGGGUUUAUCUUCGGCGCAGGCACCUCGGCCUACCAGGUGGAAGGGGCGGCUGCAGAAGAUGGAAGGAAACCUAGCAUCUGGGACACCUUCACUCAUCAAGGUUAUUCUGCCGACAAGUCUACCGGGGAUGUUGCAGCGGAUCAGUAUCACCAUUACAAAGAUGAUGUGAAGCUUAUGUACGACCUGGGUCUAGAUGCGUACAGAUUCUCCAUCUCAUGGCCGCGGCUUAUCCCAGAUGGAAGAGGAGACAUCAAUCUGAAGGGCUUGAAGUACUACAACAACUUGAUAGAUGAAUUGAUACAGCAUGGCAUACAACCUCAUGUGACAAUCUACCAUUUCGAUCUCCCUCAGUCCCUUCAGGAUGAGUACAACGGGCUGCUCAGCCCCAGAUUCAUAGACGAUUACACCAUGUACGCGGACACCUGCUUCAAAAGCUUUGGGGACAGGGUGAAGCACUGGGUCACCAUCAACGAGCCCAACGUCGAAACUCUAGGCGGCUUUGACAGCGGCACUUGGCCACCGCGGCGUUGUUCUCAUCCUUUCGGCACAAACUGUACCGGAGGGAACUCCACGACGGAGCCGUACAUAGCUGCUCACCACCUCCUCCUAGCACAUGCCUCGGCAGUGUCCCUGUAUAGAAACAAGUACCAGGCAAGUCAAAAGGGGCAUAUAGGAAUUACUCUCUUGACCGGGUGGUAUGCGCCUGCUACCAAUGCAUCCCAGGAUGCUGUUGCUGCAACAAGGAUGAAUGACUUUCACAUUGGAUGGUUUAUGCAUCCUUUGGUGUAUGGGGACUACCCACCGGUAAUGAAGAUAAGGGUUGGUGCACGGUUGCCGAAUGUGACGGUGGAGCAGUCGAAGAAACUCUCCGGGUCAUUUGACUUCAUCGGCUUGAACCACUACGCUGUUUUUCCCACGGUGGCCGACGAGACCGCCUUCAAUCUGAAGCAGAGGGACUACUUCGCCGACGGAGGAGUUGCAAAUCCAACGAAAUACAUCCUAGAGGGCCAGAGUGAGUAUGCUCCUUGGGCUCUAGGGGAGCUACUGGAGCACGUAAAACUCAAGUAUGGAAACCCUGCAAUCAUGAUCCAUGAAAACGGAUACGGAGACGCCCCCAAAACCCCAGGCAAGAUCGAAUACGAUGACGAUAACAGAUCAAAGAUUCUGCAAAAUUACUUGGAAGUUCUCUACCUGUCCAUAAGGAACGGAUCAAAUGUGCAGGGAUACUUUGUGUGGUCGUUCGUUGAUGUGUUCGAGUUUCUGUUCGGCAACCGCAUGCGCUUCGGGCUGUGCGGUGUCGAUAUGAGCACGGCGGGGAGGAAGAGGUACGCGAGGAACUCUGCCCGCUGGUACUCCGGCUUCCUCAACGGUAGUGAGCUGCGGUCGGUGUCGCCAUUGAGCAAAGCCUACGGGGCCGCAUGA
rnacentral:rRNA from 1 species